UGCAAGUCGAACGAGAGAGAAGGAGCUUGCUUCUUCGAUCGAGUGGCGAACGGGUGGGUAACGCGUGAGGAACCUGCCUCAAAGAGGGGGACAACAGUUGGAAACGACUGCUAAUACCGCAUAAGCCCACGGGUCGGCAUCGACCUGAGGGAAAAGGAGCAAUCCGCUUUGAGAUGGCCUCGCGUCCGAUUAGCUAGUUGGUGAGGUAACGGCCCACCAAGGCGACGAUCGGUAGCCGGACUGAGAGGUUGAACGGCCACAUUGGGACUGAGACACGGCCCAGACUCCUACGGGAGGCAGCAGUGGGGAAUAUUGCACAAUGGGGGAAACCCUGAUGCAGCGACGCCGCGUGGAGGAAGAAGGUCUUCGGAUUGUAAACUCCUGUUGUUGAGGAAGAUAAUGACGGUACUCAACAAGGAAGUGACGGCUAACUACGUGCCAGCAGCCGCGGUAAAACGUAGGUCACAAGCGUUGUCCGGAAUUACUGGGUGUAAAGGGAGCGCAGGCGGGAAGACAAGUUGGAAGUGAAAUCUAUGGGCUUAACCCAUAAACUGCUUUCAAAACUGUUUUUCUUGAGUAGUGCAGAGGUAGGCGGAAUUCCCGGUGUAGCGGUGGAAUGC
rnacentral:rRNA from 1 species